rnacentral:rRNA from 1 species
UGAACGCUGGCGGCAUGCUUUACACAUGCAAGUCGGACGGCAGCACAGAGAAGCUUGCUUCUUGGGUGGCGAGUGGCGAACGGGUGAGUAAUGCAUCGGAACGUACCGAGUAGUGGGGGAUAACUGUCCGAAAGGAUGGCUAAUACCGCAUACGCUUUGAGAAGGAAAGCAGGGGCUCUUCGGACCUUGCGCUAUUCGAGCGGCCGAUGUCUGAUUAGCUGGUUGGUGGGGUAAAGGCCUACCAAGGCGACGAUCAGUAGCGGGUCUGAGAGGAUGAUCCGCCACACUGGGACUGAGACACGGCCCAGACUCCUACGGGAGGCAGCAGUGGGGAAUUUUGGACAAUGGGCGCAAGCCUGAUCCAGCCAUGCCGCGUGUCUGAAGAAGGCCUUCGGGUUGUAAAGGACUUUUGUCAGGGAAGAAAAGGUUGUGGUUAAUACCCAUGACUGAUGACGGUACCUGAAGAAUAAGCACCGGCUAACUACGUGCCAGCAGCCGCGGUANUACGUAGGGUGCGAGCGUUAAUCGGAAUUACUGGGCGUAAAGCGGGCGCAGACGGUUACUUAAGUCAGAUGUGAAAUCCCCGGGCUCAACCUGGGAACUGCGUUUGAA